rnacentral:lncRNA from 1 species
AUAGAUUUGAUGAGAGAUCUGUCACUAGGGAGAUUUUCAGAGAUCUAAAAUGAUGACACCAACUGGCAAUCUAAGCAAUAGUGGAGAGGCUACCUUAAAUGCCCUCCCUUGAUAAUGAGAUUGAUGACUACCUCAUAUGUCAUCCUAAAGCCUUCAUCUAGGGGAAGACACCCACAGAUAAACACUGAACUGAACUUCUGGAACCCAGUUGCAAAGAGGGAGGCAUGAAGAGCAAAAGGGUCAAGACCCAGCUGCUGAAACCCACAGAAAUAGCUGACCUGAACAAGGGGUGCUCAUGGAUCUCAGACUGAUGGCUGAGAAGCCAGCAUGGGACUGACCCAUACUCCCUGAACAUGGGUGCCACUGAGGAGGCCUUGGCAAUCUAUGGGGCCUCUGGCAGUGGAUCAGUAUUUGUCCUUGGUGCAUGAAUGGACUUUGGGAGGCCAUUCCAUGUGGAGGGAUGCUCUCUCAGCCUGGACACAUGGAGGAGGGGCUAAGCCCUGCCAUGGAUGACAUGAUAGAUUUUGGGGAUCUCCCAAAGAAGGGUCUCACACUCCCUGGGAACCAGAGGGGCAUGGGAAAGAUGGAAGAAGAGAAGCUGCCUGAGAGUUCAAUGUCACCCCAAAAGAAACCAAAGCUAGCUGAAAUCAAGAGAAAGAAACGUGUUAGAUCAGUCUUACCCCACCAAAGGGACAGGCAAAGAAAACCCUCUUCCUCUCAAAAUGCAGAUGAGGAGAUGUUCAAAUGUGAAUGUCACUGCUGCCAGAAGUAUGUGGGAAACACGUCUGGAAUGUCUGCGGGGACCAGGACAGAAGCAACCUCUCCUUCACCCUCCUUAUAAAAGCUGACAUUAGAUCCCAGUGUCUUAACACUCAACCCAAGUACCACCCAGACCCUCUUAUGCAAGAAAGAACACAGAAAAUAGAAAAUGACAAUGUGCAUUGCAAACUGAGAAGCGAAAGGAUAUUUUUUUUUAUUAGUUCAAAUUAGGAACAAGCUUGCUUCACAUGUUAAUCCCUUCUCCCUCUCUCUCCCCUUCCCUCAACCUCCCCCUACUCUAUUUCCCCUCCGCUCCCCAGGGAGGGUAGGGCCCUCCAUGGAGGCUCCCCAAAGUCCACCACAUCAUCCUGGGCCAGGCCUAGGCCCCCCCAAUGUGUCCAGGCCAAGAGAGAAUCCCUUCAUGUGGGAUGGGCUCUCAAAGACCCUUCUUACACCAGGGAAAAAUAUUGAUCUUCUACUACUAGAGGCCCCAUAGAGUGUAGAGGCCUCCUCAUUGACAUCCAUGUUCAGGGCUCUGGAUCAGUCUCGUUCUGGCCUCCCAGACAGCAGUCUGGGGUCCAUGUGCUCCCCCUUGUUCAAGUCAGCUGGCGAAAGGGUAUUUAAAAGGCUCUCCAGGAAUGGACAGAAUGACUGUGGACUUAUCAACCUCCUUUCAAUAAGAUCAGAGCCUACAGGAUCAUGAAUCUUUUUGGGAGCAUGGUUAGGAGGAGUACCAAUGUCCAGUCUGGUGAUAAUAACACCAUCACAUGGAGAGACUCCAACCUAUUCUAGAAAUGUUGCAUUCCUUUCCUUAGUAUUUUUGGCAUCCUUCCUGGGACAUUCUGGGCAGAGCAGCUCCCAGGCAAGGGCAAGCACAUAGCGAUGGUUCUAUCUUCCCCAUACUGUUGUUCCCAUGGGUGAGCUAACAUUUUCCUCUCCUCAGGUUUUGACUUUUCCUUCCUUCCUUUUUUGCUGUUUUCAAAAUUGCUUCCGUUCCAUUUUAUUUACUGGAGCUAGAAGGAACACUAGGUCUGGUGGAGGUGUGUGUGUGUGUGUGUGUGUGUGUGUGUGUGUGUGUGUGUGUGUGUGUGCACUUGAAAUUUUUGUUUCAAAGCUUUUUGUUUUGUGAUAUUUUGUUUCUGCUGGGACAAAUCAAGCUUGCUGGAGAUCAGUUGGCCCAGCUAGGUAGUACUUAACCAUAGAAGCUAGGUGGUGGAAGCUCAAACUUAAUUCCAGCACUUGGGAGGUGGAGACAGGAAGUGACAAGGUAGGGUGAAGACAGGUUCACAGUCCUUUUGAUCAGAGGAUCCUGGGCGGUUCAUUAUAGUUAUGCUUCACUAAACCAUUGGAGAUACAGAAGAAUGAGAAUAUAUCAAGCAUUCUUCAUCUAAUUCUUCCCCAUGACAGUUUACCUUACUCCUUAUAUAACUAUAUAACACUUCAAGUAUACGGCACUAACACUGGCAUAAUGGG